AUAAGAAUAUCUCAUUAAGCUUUACUUUUCCUAGGGAACAAGAAGGCAGCAGGAGCUGAGCAUCUGUUUGACUUCACUUCUGGAAACUCUUUAUGGCAAUUUCUCUCUAUGAGGAGCAACGUGAAAUGCAUGGGCAUUAUUAAACCUACUCCCGGAUUCAGGACUUAUCUGUUUUUCCAGCGCCAUUCAUUGAAAAGAUUUUCCUUUCUCCAUUGGUAACUGUGUUGCAAAAAUAAAAAGAGGAAGAGGACAAGAAGCUGACUCUGA
rnacentral:lncRNA from 1 species